UGGUGUGGUUCGUUAAUGCGCCUGGACUCGCGACACUCCGCAUCCUGCUCAGCCCCAAGGGGAGCUACCGGCUGGCCCGGACGCUCUCCUCGUGCCUGUCAGCCCGCAAAACCUACCAGAGUCCGACAACUGGUGCCCCGUGUGAGGACCCUCUCUCCUCGUUCUUCUCGCUGACGGGCCAAUCGGUCUUCGGGCUCCACACCCAGCAUGGAGGCCAACAUAGGACUUGAACCCAUGACCCUGAGAUCAAGACCUGCACUGAAAUCAAGAAUCAGACACUUAAUGAACUGAAGGUCCCAAAGACCCCGGUCAAUUAUACUUCAAUAAUGAAAAAUUUUAAAUACAAUUUUAAAAAUAAAAACAUUUUAAAAAUUAA